rnacentral:rRNA from 1 species
ACUCCUACGGGAGGCAGCAGUGGGGAAUAUUGCACAAUGGGGGAAACCCUGAUGCAGCCAUGCCGCGUGUGUGAAGAAGGCCUUGGUUGUAAAGCACUUUCAGUAGGGAGGAAGGUAGUGUAGUUAACACCUGCAUUAUUUGUACGUUACCUACAGAAGAAGCACCGGCUAACUCCGUGCCAGCAGCCGCGGUAAGUACGGAGGGUGCGAGCGUUAAUCGGAAUUACUGGGCGUAAAGCGCAUGCAGGCGGCCUGUUAAGUCAGAUGUGAAAGCCCGGGGCGUUAACCUCGGAAUUGCAUUUGAAACUGGCAGGCUAGAGUCUUGUAGAGGGGUAGAAUUUCAGGUGUAGCGGUGAAAUGCGUAG